rnacentral:pre_miRNA from 1 species
AUACUGGUCUGCAGCUGCUGGUCUUUCUUCUUGGUCCAGCAGCACAUGAACCAGUUCUCC